CUCCGGAUGAUCGGGUGUCAGAUCGGAAAAUCGGAAGCGGGGAUCGUCAUCAGCGCGUCGUUGUGAGUCCGAUGGUGUGUUCGGAUCGUCGAUCGGACUCCGGCGGCUGGAGGCGAGUCGACCGAGCGACCGAGCGUCUUGAUGAUCUGUCUGUUCGGCUCGCUCCUACCGAGACACCUAAGCUGAGCUAGGAGGUCGCCUAAUUCUAUUCGUGACUGUUAGUUCUCUCGCGACUCUUAUUCAGUAACCCGACUCCUUCAUCAUCGGGUGAUGUAUUUGAUUUGGUAUGUAAAUUGGUAAAUCUUAGAUUCUCCGCAGUAGUAAUUAGUAUAUGUAUCAGUUGUAAAUUUUCUGAGCUUCGGGUCUCGCCUAGUAUUUUCUGGUAGACCGAAGUAAUUUUGUAAAGUGUAACUAUUAAGAUAAUUUAUGGUUUUAAUAAUAUAAAUUUGAGUUGAGAUUUGUUUAAAUCAGUGAGUGUCAGGCUUACUACGGGUUUCGGUGGCCUUAAGCCUACCCAUUCCCUAGUGCCGGUCACGGGCCCACGGGUGGGGUCGUGACAAAGUUGGUAUCAGAGCUUAGGUUUAGAUUUCCUUCGACCUAAGUUAAGAUUUUUCUUGGUACUGCGGAGUUAGGAUCAUGUAUGUCUUGUUGUUUUCAUUGACUCCAGUGUCUCAGCCUUCACUGUUAGAGAGUCAGUCUUUCCUUUCUUGUAAGCUUGUCCUUGGUGCUGUGCUGAGAAUGUGCCUUGUAGCGAUGGGAGAUCCGAAGCGCGAUAGACUCGUGCUGUUUCUUCAAGUGAUUAGUGCAGUCCGCCUUUAGAAGCUUUGAUUGUUGUUUCGAUGGUGGGCACCGCAGUCAGUUUUAGUGUAGAGCGUGGUUGCAGUCGUGUCAUGGACUGCCUCGUCAUCGCAUCAGGCAUCGUCUUAUUGAGUAGCGCCGAAAGUAGUGCCUGAGAAGUCGAGUAGAUGUCAGAGCUCUAUGGUUGAGUUUUGGUGAUUGUAAGAAGCUUAAGAAAGGUGGCAGGAGUAUUUUCGGACGCUCAGAAUCCAGAGAAACUUAAGCGAACAUUAUUUAUUUUUCUAAGUAGAACAAGUGUUUUAAAAUACAAUAUUGCGCCCAGUCCCGUAAGAAUGCAUUAUGGCAUUUCACUGUUAGGCAUGCAUAAAUUCAUUUUAGGACAUGCAUCAUACAUUGUGCAUUGCAACCCUUGGUGAUAGGGGGCAUCAUCACCCUGGCGCGCGAUAUUGUAGAAUUUUAUAUAAAGAAAAAUGGCUAGAGAUUUUACGAUUUUGUAAAAGUAUUUUUCAAGAUAAUAAAGUUUUUAUCAGUGAUGAUUAUAAAGUAAAUAAAUAAGUAAAUUUUUCAAAGUAAAUAGUGUUAGCUUGAGAAUUCUCUGGAUGACGAGCUGAGUUGCCGUGAGAGUAAGUUUGUGGAGCUGUAGGCCCCAUGUUAGAUAAUAAAGGAUGCUUUUGGAUCUCAGUCAAGGAGGAAUCUUGUGUCAGGAUGGCAUGGUUUAUAUCGGUUGAUGCGAUCAGAUGGAUGUUAUAUCGAGGAUGAUGUGAUGUAGAUGUUAAGGAUUUUUCUGUACGUGCAAGGGGCAUGUCAUCAGGAAGGAAAUUUGGUGAGUGAAUUUUUGGCAGGAUCAGAAUUGGCCCUUCUUGUGUGGAAACCCUUGGUUUUGUCGGCAGGUUAGUGAGGUGGCAUGUAAGUUGGACUUGCCGCCAAGUAUUAGUAAUGUUCUCUGAGGUCAAAUCCAGUUGUUUGUAAGUCUGAGCUGAGGAAGUGUAUUUUCGAUCUUUGCUCGUGUUGGACCCUUAGUGUGUGGAAGCAAGUGAAGAUUUGGUUUCCGAGAAGUAGUAAGUGAGGAUCGCCAGUUUUAUUUAAGGGUUUUACUGAUGAGUCUUGUGGUUUAGUUUAGUUUCUGCCGAGGAAAGUUCUCUAGAAGCCGGGUUGGAGUUGAGAGGUUCCUAAUUAGUUUCAGUCGUAAGUGAAGCCCCUUUUCUUUUAAAAUUCGAGGACGAAUUUUUUUUUUUUAAGAGGGGGAGAAUGUAACACCCGGAAUUUUUAUAUAUUUAAUAAUGAGUUUUUAUUUAAGUUAAUUUUAGUCUCAUUAUUAUUGGGUUUAAUUUAAAAUGAUUAUAUUUUGGUUAUUCAAAUUUUUCCAAAUGCAUAUUUAUAUAAGUAAAAUUAUAUAUUGGAAAAUUAUGGUAGAAUUGUAAAGGAUGUGUUUAUAAAAGAAUUUUGGAAAAAAUUGAUUAUUUAAUUUAAUUGUGUGUUAGGACUAAAUUGGAAAUUUAUUUUGGAAUAAGGAUUGAAAGUAUAAUUUUAUUUUUAUGGGGUUUUAAUGGAAAUUUGUGAGUUUGGUAUUUUCGUAAAUAAAUAUGUCGGUCAGGGGUAUUUUUGUAAUUAUGUAUUUUCAGUAAUUCUAAUUUGGCCCAAAAUUAAAUAGUUAAGGGCUUAAUUGUAAGGCUAAAAAGAAGUUUGGGGGUUAAAUUGGAAUUCUGCGGGAUGAAAUUGUAAGUAAUUAAGAAAGUUGAGGGACCAAAUUGUAAUAAGGAAAAGUUCGGGGGCCUAAUGUCGAUAUUGAAAGAAAAAGAAGUCGGGGAAGAAGAAAGGAGGAGAGAGAGAGAGUGCGGCGUCGGGAAGAGAGAGAAGGGGACGUUGCAGGCGUCGGCGGCGACCGUCGAAGGCGUGGAGCAUUGGCCGACGGAGCGGCGUGCGCUGGCGAGCGCAGCAGCGACGGCAGCAGCGGCUCCAGCGGCAGCGUGAGGCGGCGGAUUCGCGCGUGUGGCAGCGGCUUCCAGGCGUGUUUCCGGCCGUUUCCGGCGUUGUUGGCGGCCGAGUUGGGUGGCGAUCGGCUCCUCUCGGCGAGGGCUUUCUUUUGGUAGCAGCGGCGACGCCUGUGGUGGCCGGAGACGGAAGAUCUGGUGGAGAGAGAAAAUGGUGGCAGCCGGCGUGUUUGGGCUUUUCCGGCCAGCUCCGGCGGAGGAUGGAUGAUCGGAGGAUGUAUCCCGACUCUCCUCAGCUCAAGCUUCGCGAUGGCACUAGUUUCGUGGCGAUCGGGUUUCGUUUGCGAAUCGACGGUCGAGAUCGUCCGCAAAUCUCUCCGGAUGAUCGGGUGUCAGAUCGGAAAAUCGGAAGCGGGGAUCGUCAUCAGCGCGUCGUUGUGAGUCCGAUGGUGUGUUCGGAUCGUCGAUCGGACUCCGGCGGCUGGAGGCGAGUCGACCGAGCGACCGAGCAUCUUGAUGAUCUGUCUGUUCGGCUCGCUCCUACCGAGACACCUAAGCUGAGCUAGGAGGUCGCCUAAUUCUAUUCGUGACUGUUAGUUCUCUCGCGACUCUUAUUCAGUAACCCGACUCCUUCAUCAUCGGGUGAUGUAUUUGAUUUGGUAUGUAAAUUGGUAAAUCUUAGAUUCUCCGCAGUAGUAAUUAGUAUAUGUAUCAGUUGUAAAUUUUCUGAGCUUCGGGUCUCGCCUAGUAUUUUCUGGUAGACCGAAGUAAUUUUGUAAAGUGUAACUAUUAAGAUAAUUUAUGGUUUUAAUAAUAUAAAUUUGAG
rnacentral:lncRNA from 1 species